rnacentral:ncRNA from 1 species
ACAAAGGCUCUUUUAAGAGCCACCCACAUUCUCCACAAAGAGCCG